rnacentral:rRNA from 1 species
UGCAGUCGAACGAACUUAACCAUUAGUUUACUAUUGGAGCGGUUAGUGGCGGACUGGUGAGUAACACGUAAGCAACCUGCCUAUCAGAGGGGAACAACAGUUAGAAAUGACUGCUAAUACCGCAUAUGCCUUAGAAUCACAUGGUUCAAAAGGGAAAGGAGCAAUCCGCUGAUAGAUGGGCUUGCGUCUGAUUAGCUAGUUGGUGGGGUAAUGGCCUACCAAGGCGACGAUCAGUAGCCGAACUGAGAGGUUGAACGGCCACAUUGGGACUGAGAUACGGCCCAGACUCCUACGGGAGGCAGCAGUCGGGGAUAUUGCGCAAUGGAGGAGACUCUGACGCAGUGACGCCGCGUGCAGGAAGAAGGUUUUCGGAUUGUAAACUGCUUUAGACAGGGAAGAACAAAGACAGUACCUGUAGAAUAAGCUCCGGCUAACUACGUGCCAGCAGCCGCGGUAAUACGUAGGGAGCGAGCGUUAUCCGGAUUUAUUGGGUGUAAAGGGUGCGUAGACGGGAAGUCAAGUUAGUUGUGAAAUCCCUCGGCUUAACUGAGGAACUGCAACUAAAACUGAUUUUCUUGAGUACUGGAGAGGAAAGUGGAAUUCCUAGUGUAGCGGUGAAAUGCGUAGAUAUUAGGAGGAACACCGGUGGCGAAGGCGACUUUCUGGACAGAAACUGACGUUGAGGCACGAAAGUGUGGGGAGCAAACAGGAUUAGAUACCCUGGUAGUCCACACCGUAAACGAUGGAUACUAGGUGUAGGGGAUAUUAAAAUUCUCUGUGCCGCCGCUAACGCAAUAAGUAUCCCACCUGGGGAGUGCGGCCGCAAGGUUGAAACUC